rnacentral:lncRNA from 1 species
GUAAUGGAGGUGCUCUCUGGAGGUGACGGUUAAGGAAGUGCUCCUGGAGGUGAUGAUGAAAGAGAUGCUCCCUGGAGGUGAUGGAGGUGCUCCCUAGAGGUGACGGUGAUGGAGCUGCUCCCUGGAGGUGACAGCUAAGGAGGUACUCCUGGAGGUGAUGGUGAAGGAGGUGCUCCUGGAGGUGACAGUGAAGGAGGUGCUCCCUGGAGGUGAUGGUGACGGGGGUGCUUCUGGAGGUGAUGGUGAUUGAGGUGCUCCCUGGAGGUGAUGGAGGUGCCCCUGGAGGUGAUAGUGAAGGAGGUGCUCCCUGGAGGUGAUGGAGGUGCUGCUGGAAGUGAUGGUGAAGGAGAUGCUCCCUGGAGGUGAUGGUGAAGGAGGUGCUCCUAGAAGUGAAGGUGAUGGAGGUGCUCCCUGGAGGAGAUGGAAGUGCUCCUGGAGGUGACAGUGAAGGAGGUGCUCCCUCAAGGUCAUGGAGAUGCUCCUGGAAGUGACGAUGAAGGAGGUGCUCCCUGGAGGUGACAGUGAUGGAGGCGCUCCCUGGAGGUGAUGGUGAAGGAGGUGCUCCUGGAUGUGAUGGUGAUGGAGGUGUGGAGGUGCUCCCUGGAGGUGAUGGAAGUGCUCCUGGAGGCGACGGUGAAGGAGGUGCUCCCUGGAGGUGAUGGAGGUGCUCCUGGAGGUGAUGGAGGUGAUGGUGAAGGAGGUGCUCUCUGGAGGUGAUAGUGAUGGAGGUGCUUCCUGGAGGUGGUGGUGAAUACGGUGCUCCCUAGAGGUGACAGUGAAGGAGGUGCUCCCUGGAGAAGCCGAAGGCAGGCCUUGUCCCUCUAGCUACUUGGAGCCCCUAACACUGUCCUCAGUGCCGAUGCUUUUGGUUGCUACCGGGCACUUUCUUUAGGACACAGGCUGAGGAGGGACAGGGAUGGUGUCCCAGCAGCGUGAGCAUCUCCCAGUAGCAAAGGUGACAAACCAUUUCAGCUGGAGACGGAGAUGAAGCUGCAUAUUUAAGGCCAAGGAGUCUGUGCUGUGUCGGGGGCACUCGCCCCUGCUGAGGAGCCACUGCUGAACCUGGGGCUUAGAGAUGAGCCCUGAACCCAGCUCCAAAGUCUGCAGGCUCCACGUGCUGCUGGGCCCCCAACAAUGACAGGGCAGGAGCUUGGCUAUAGCCGCUCAACGAGUGUGCGUGGCCUGGGACCAUUCUAACAAACCAGGGGCUUAAAACAACAGAGGGUGCAUCUCAUGGUUCUGGAAGCCGGCAUCUGAGGUCAAGGCGUCCGUGAGGCCAUGCCCCUCCAAGGUGUGGAAGGCUCUUGGGGACCUCUCCUCACCUCACGACCCUCCCUGCAUGCCUCACCUGCAGACGCCUCACUCCACUCUCUGCCUCUGUCACAUGGCCUCCAUCCAAGGACCUGAAGCAGUGAUUGGGGCCCCCAACUCCAGGAUGACUUCAUCUGAGCCCAAAUCCAUCUGCAAAGACCCUCCUCCCAAACAGGGCGGCCCUUGUGGGGCCUGGGUUGGACUCAACCCUUCUUUUUGGAGACAAAAUUCAACCCCAAACACUAGACCGGUGGGAUUCCUACAACAACCCCAUCCGGGAAAGGCCAUGCCCUGCCCAGGGCCGAGAGCCAGCUCAGACUGGCCUCCAGCAAGGGCUGGACACAUGGCUCUCACAUCACCUCUAGUCCAAAACACGUGCUCCUUUCCCUCCAGCCAUUCCCUGGAAUCACCCCCCACCGCCCCCCACAGCUGUGACUCAGCUGUGAAGCCAGCAUGGCUCAGGAGGGGAGGGGAAAGAUGAGGAGGGGAGGGGAAAGAUGAGGAGGGGAGGGGAAAGAUGAGGAGGGGAGGGGAGGAAAGGAGAGGGGAGA